UUGCUCCCUUAGCUGAACUUUUGAUGUUUUUAUUAUUUUGUCCUUGUGUAUCAUUUGAUUUUGCUCUCUUUCUUUGCUUUCUUUCCCUUUCCAUGCGUUCUUCAUUGACUUCUCUUUCAAUUAUCAGUGCUUUGUUUACCACAUCUGCAUAAGUUGUCAAUUCAUACGGAAUCACUUAUUUUCGAAUCUCAGUUCUCAGUCUCAUCUCAAACUUGUGAACACGUUCUUGCUCACCAUUCACUAAUCUCGAAGCAAAUUUUGCUAACUCUGUAAAUUUUGCUUCAUAUUCAGU
rnacentral:lncRNA from 1 species